rnacentral:snRNA from 1 species
AUAACAUGUCUUUAUUAAUCAUGU